GAAGGGGGGUCGUGCUGGUGGUGGAGGAGGAGGAGGAAGAGGAGGGAGAAAGGAGGAGGAGGAGGCGGAACAGGAAAAGAACUACGAAGUUCGACCACCGCACCUCCGGCCCCCGCAGCAUUGCCGGUGACCAGGGAGAGGGAGCUCACCCCAAAUCUGUCCCGGGGUCGCCGAGAGGAAUUUCCAUUGCGAAACUGUGGCCGGAUGGAGGAAGAGAAGGCUGUGAGGAAGAGGGAGUAGUCACAGGACCCCCAGGCAGACAAGGAGACCAGGGAGGACAAAUCCCCUCAGCAGAACCUCGUGGAAGAGGCUGUUUUGAGCGGCCCCAUGGCACAGGAAUGCAACAGGGAGGAAAAGCCGCGGAGAUCCCACCCGAGGAGGGGCUCCAAACCCAGGCCAGGGUGCUCCGAGGAGGAAGGACCCACCCUGUGCCAGGAAGGCAGCCAGAGAUGUGGCCAGAGCUCUGAGCUGGUCGUGCAUGAACAGCUUCACAAUGGCAAGAAGCUGCACCAGUGCUCGGAAUGUGGGAAGAAUUUCUGUGCAAAGUCCAGGCUGCUCCGGCACCAGAAGAUCCACACUGGGGAACGGCGCUGUGAGUGUGGGAAAUGUGGGAAGCGCUUCAGGGACACCUCUAACCUGAUGAUCCACCUGAGAGUCCACACUGGGGAACGGCCCUAUGAGUGUGGGGAAUGUGGGAAGAGCUUCACUGCCAGCUCCAGCCUGAUCUCCCACCAGAGGAUCCACACCAGGCAACGUCCCUAUAAGUGUGGGGAGUGUGGGAAGAGGUUCACUGUGAAAUCCAGUUUAAACCAGCAUAAGAAGAUCUACAGCACUGAACAGCCCUAGAAAUGUGCAGAAUGUGGGAAAGGCUUCAGGAAGAGCUCCCAGCUCAAAGGCCACCAAAUGAUCCGCACUGGGAUAUGACCCUGUAUGUGUGGGGAAUGCAGGAAGAGCUUUUAUGACAGCUCUGGCCUGAUCAUGCAGCAGACAGUGCACACUGGGGAAUGCCCCUACACGUGCUCAGAAUGUGGGAAGAGCUUCAUCCAGCGCUCCAAACUGCUUGUCCACCGGCAGGUGCACACUGGAGAGAGGCCCUAACAGUGUCCUGAGUGUGGGAAGAGCUUCUCCCAGAGCUGUGCUGUGACCCAAGAGCAAUGGAGGCACCAGGAAGGGAAGCUCUGCAAGUGCCCCACGUGCGGGAAGAGCUUUGUGCGCUGCUCCAACUCCAUCCCCCGUUGGAGGACCCCAUUGGAUGAUCCACAGUGAGCCUGGUUGGGCAGAGCCUUGGAGAUCCAUGGUCCUGGUGAUCCAUGGUGGGAAGUGUUGGGGGGUUACACUUGUUUCUUUUUCACUUAGAGAAUUUUUUUCCCAUAAGUUUCUAGGAGACUAACGACUGAGUGUUUGACUAAAACAAAGAAGUGUCCAAAGGAGAUGGCAGCACUGGGCUACACCUAUUGAUUUUGGGUCUCUGGGAGUUUCCCUCAGAGUGGGGAGAUAAGUGGAGUUUUGGGGGAGGUAAAGGACAGAGCUGGGGGCAGCUGCUUGCUCUUGCUCUCAGCAUGGGAGGGGAGAGAGGCCGGUCGGGCUGGUGCUUGCUGGGGGAAGAGCUCAGGGAUGUUAUAAAUGCCAAUCCAACAUUCCAAUUGAAAAUAUGAUUUGGUUUAAUGAAAAAUACAAUUACAGAAUUUUGGUAAAACCCCCAGCGGAGUAUUGUUGAUGUUAUAGCCGGGAUUGUCAAAGGGUGAACGGGGACGCAGCCUCUAGCGCACUGCAACCCGUCCAAAAGGUCACAAAUUGGCUUCGUAUGAAGCUCAGGUUUUAUACACUUUAUUUUGCCCCUGGCAUAAGAUUUCCCCAUAGUCUCUUUGUUCCUGGGACUGGUUAUUCGAAUUCAUUGCCAUCUUUGGUCUGCUGAAAGGAGUCUCCUCUGGGAGGGAGAGGUGGCAAAUUUAGUCCUCCUGUGGGUGAACGGAAACCGAGAUUUGUGAAUGGAAAAGUUCUCCUCCAGAGAUCAGGGUGAUGAUGAUGUUCUGAUGGCUCUGCUGCCCGCAGGAGGAGAACUGAUUCCUUGUGUUAAUGUGUCCUUCUUUCUGAUGCCAAUCUCAUCAUCUCAGGUUCCCAGCAUCUUAUUGUGUCCCCCUGAAUGGUGGUUACUGGGUGAUGCCGGCCUAGGAAUUUCUUAAUUCUGUGGCUGGCUGGAAUUUAGGUUACACUUUUAUUUUAUUUUUAUGAAACCACGAGUUCAACUGAAGCCGGGACUAUAAGUGGAAUUGGAGACCGAGCAACGGAGAUCAAACCAAUAUGGUUAUAACACACGUUGUCCUCUUUAUUCACAAGAUGGCUGAUUUUAUACAGUAAGAAUAGUUUACAGUGACAGGUGCAUUUCUAUUGGCAGGGGAGCGUGAGCAAAUAUGUAAACAUUCACAGUUUAAGGCAGCUACCGUGCUUUCCCAGUAAUUGCUCUAUUCUAUUGAUACCCAUACCUUAACUCAGCUUCCAGCGCCCCACUGGCUUAUCUAGUUCUACGUAGGGUAAACAUUUGAGGCCUAGCAGGCCCAGGUCUGAGGCCUGGUCUGAGGCCCAGUUUGGGAUAGCUCAACCUUUAUUCUAUAAGUCAUCCUGCUCCUGCUACAAUUGCUCGUUUUUGUUUGUUUGUUUGUUUUGGUGUGGUUUUUUUCUUCUUCUUUUUUUUUUAUUUCUUUUGAGCUAUCCAAACUGGGUGUGUGGCAUGGCUGGCUACUUUUGCAUAUACACUGUUACAAGCAAGCACUACUUGAGUUACCCAGAAAAAACCCCAAGAUCUCAGCCAUUAAAAGCAAAAAGCUAAAAACACAGUAUUCAGUCCUUGGCAUUCAUUCAUACUCAAAUUCUGAGUAUAAAGUUCCGUAAUCAUCUACAGUCUCUUCCUCUUCCUCACUCCUUGAUGAUACAUCAUAACUGCAGGCUUCUCUGUAGUUACCGGGAUAGUCGGAGUUGCCUCCUGUUAACGCAACUGCAAUGAUGCGUCCCUGUUGCUCCAUGGCAUCUUGCAUGGCUGCUGUGAAUGCUGCUGUUUCGUUGUCUUGUUCAGCUCUGGCAGCUUUUACUAGCAUCUCAUCGACUCUACAGCCUUGUGGAAGGGAAGCUAAAACAAUCUUGGUAUGUGAAUUAGCAUUCUCAAAGGCAAGGGAAUAGAAGUUUUUACAUACUAAUGAAAGUGAAAAGUGAUUAUCAAAUCAUUUCUGCUAUCACCCCAGAGACUGCAAACUGCUGAAACACUUUUCUUUAGUGAAGAUAUUGAUACCCUUCCCUGGGCAGGGAUACCAAGUUUCACCU